rnacentral:rRNA from 1 species
ACUUUCCUGCAGUCGAGCGGCAGCGCGGGGCAACCUGGCGGCGAGCGGCGAACGGGUGAGUAAUGCAUCGGAACAUGUCCAUGUCGUGGGGGAUAGCCCGGCGAAAGCCGGAUUAAUACCGCAUACGCCCGAGAGGGGAAAGUGGGGGACCGCAAGGCCUCACGCGAUUGGGUUGGCCGAUGUCCGAUUAGCUAGUUGGCGGGGUAAAGGCCCACCAAGGCGAUGAUCGGUAGCUGGUCUGAGAGGAUGAUCAGCCACACUGGGACUGAGACACGGCCCAGACUCCUACGGGAGGCAGCAGUGGGGAAUUUUGGACAAUGGGGGCAACCCUGAUCCAGCCAUUCCGCGUGAGUGAAGAAGGCCUUCGGGUUGUAAAGCUCUUUUGUCCGGAACGAAACGGUGGACGUGAACAUCGUCCGCUACUGACGGUACCGGAAGAAUAAGCACCGGCUAACUACGUGCCAGCAGCCGCGGUAAUACGUAGGGUGCGAGCGUUAAUCGGAAUUACUGGGCGUAAAGCGUGCGCAGGCGGUUUUGUAAGCCAGAUGUGAAAUCCCCGGGCUUAACCUGGGAAUGGCAUUUGGGACUGCAAGGCUGGAGUGCGGCAGAGGAGACUGGAAUUCCUGGUGUAGCAGUGAAAUGCGUAGAUAUCAGGAGGAACACCGAUGGCGAAGGCAGGUCUCUGGGCUGACACUGACGCUCAUGCACGAAAGCGUGGGGAGCAAACAGGAUUAGAUACCCUGGUAGUCCACGCCCUAAACGAUGUCNACUGGUUGUUGGGGGUUUGACACUCUCAGUAACGAAGCUAACGCGUGAAGUCGACCGCCUGGGGAGUACGGCCGCAAGGUUA